UUAAGCGACUAAGCGUACACGGUGGAUGCCCUGGCAGUCAGAGGCGAUGAAGGACGUGCUAAUCUGCGAUAAGCGUCGGUAAGGUGAUAUGAACCGUUAUAACCGGCGAUUUCCGAAUGGGGAAACCCAGUGUGUUUCGACACACUAUCAUUAACUGAAUCCAUAGGUUAAUGAGGCGAACCGGGGGAACUGAAACAUCUAAGUACCCCGAGGAAAAGAAAUCAACCGAGAUUCCCCCAGUAGCGGCGAGCGAACGGGGAGCAGCCCAGAGCCUGAAUCAGUGUGUGUGUUAGUGGAAGCGUCUGGAAAGGCGCGCGAUACAGGGUGACAGCCCCGUACACAAAAAUGCACAUGCUGUGAGCUCGAUGAGUAGGGCGGGACACGUGGUAUCCUGUCUGAAUAUGGGGGGACCAUCCUCCAAGGCUAAAUACUCCUGACUGACCGAUAGUGAACCAGUACCGUGAGGGAAAGGCGAAAAGAACCCCGGCGAGGGGAGUGAAAAAGAACCUGAAACCGUGUACGUACAAGCAGUGGGAGCACGCUUAGGCGUGUGACUGCGUACCUUUUGUAUAAUGGGUCAGCGACUUAUAUUCUGUAGCAAGGUUAACCGAAUAGGGGAGCCGAAGGGAAACCGAGUCUUAACUGGGCGUUAAGUUGCAGGGUAUAGACCCGAAACCCGGUGAUCUAGCCAUGGGCAGGUUGAAGGUUGGGUAACACUAACUGGAGGACCGAACCGACUAAUGUUGAAAAAUUAGCGGAUGACUUGUGGCUGGGGGUGAAAGGCCAAUCAAACCGGGAGAUAGCUGGUUCUCCCCGAAAGCUAUUUAGGUAGCGCCUCGUGAAUUCAUCUCCGGGGGUAGAGCACUGUUUCGGCAAGGGGGUCAUCCCGACUUACCAACCCGAUGCAAACUGCGAAUACCGGAGAAUGUUAUCACGGGAGACACACGGCGGGUGCUAACGUCCGUCGUGAAGAGGGAAACAACCCAGACCGCCAGCUAAGGUCCCAAAGUCAUGGUUAAGUGGGAAACGAUGUGGGAAGGCCCAGACAGCCAGGAUGUUGGCUUAGAAGCAGCCAUCAUUUAAAGAAAGCGUAAUAGCUCACUGGUCGAGUCGGCCUGCGCGGAAGAUGUAACGGGGCUAAACCAUGCACCGAAGCUGCGGCAGCGACGCUGAUGCGUUGUUGGGUAGGGGAGCGUUCUGUAAGCCUGCGAAGGUGUGCUGUGAGGCAUGCUGGAGGUAUCAGAAGUGCGAAUGCUGACAUAAGUAACGAUAAAGCGGGUGAAAAGCCCGCUCGCCGGAAGACCAAGGGUUCCUGUCCAACGUUAAUCGGGGCAGGGUGAGUCGACCCCUAAGGCGAGGCCGAAAGGCGUAGUCGAUGGGAAACAGGUUAAUAUUCCUGUACUUGGUGUUACUGCGAAGGGGGGACGGAGAAGGCUAUGUUGGCCGGGCGACGGUUGUCCCGGUUUAAGCGUGUAGGCUGGUUUUCCAGGCAAAUCCGGAAAAUCAAGGCUGAGGCGUGAUGACGAGGCACUACGGUGCUGAAGCAACAAAUGCCCUGCUUCCAGGAAAAGCCUCUAAGCAUCAGGUAACAUCAAAUCGUACCCCAAACCGACACAGGUGGUCAGGUAGAGAAUACCAAGGCGCUUGAGAGAACUCGGGUGAAGGAACUAGGCAAAAUGGUGCCGUAACUUCGGGAGAAGGCACGCUGAUAUGUAGGUGAAGUCCCUCGCGGAUGGAGCUGAAAUCAGUCGAAGAUACCAGCUGGCUGCAACUGUUUAUUAAAAACACAGCACUGUGCAAACACGAAAGUGGACGUAUACGGUGUGACGCCUGCCCGGUGCCGGAAGGUUAAUUGAUGGGGUUAGCGCAAGCGAAGCUCUUGAUCGAAGCCCCGGUAAACGGCGGCCGUAACUAUAACGGUCCUAAGGUAGCGAAAUUCCUUGUCGGGUAAGUUCCGACCUGCACGAAUGGCGUAAUGAUGGCCAGGCUGUCUCCACCCGAGACUCAGUGAAAUUGAACUCGCUGUGAAGAUGCAGUGUACCCGCGGCAAGACGGAAAGACCCCGUGAACCUUUACUAUAGCUUGACACUGAACAUUGAGCCUUGAUGUGUAGGAUAGGUGGGAGGCUUUGAAGUGUGGACGCCAGUCUGCAUGGAGCCGACCUUGAAAUACCACCCUUUAAUGUUUGAUGUUCUAACGUGGACCCGUAAUCCGGGUUGCGGACAGUGUCUGGUGGGUAGUUUGACUGGGGCGGUCUCCUCCUAAAGAGUAACGGAGGAGCACGAAGGUUGGCUAAUCCUGGUCGGACAUCAGGAGGUUAGUGCAAUGGCAUAAGCCAGCUUGACUGCGAGCGUGACGGCGCGAGCAGGUGCGAAAGCAGGUCAUAGUGAUCCGGUGGUUCUGAAUGGAAGGGCCAUCGCUCAACGGAUAAAAGGUACUCCGGGGAUAACAGGCUGAUACCGCCCAAGAGUUCAUAUCGACGGCGGUGUUUGGCACCUCGAUGUCGGCUCAUCACAUCCUGGGGCUGAAGUAGGUCCCAAGGGUAUGGCUGUUCGCCAUUUAAAGUGGUACGCGAGCUGGGUUUAGAACGUCGUGAGACAGUUCGGUCCCUAUCUGCCGUGGGCGCUGGAGAACUGAGGGGGGCUGCUCCUAGUACGAGAGGACCGGAGUGGACGCAUCACUGGUGUUCGGGUUGUCAUGCCAAUGGCACUGCCCGGUAGCUAAAUGCGGAAGAGAUAAGUGCUGAAAGCAUCUAAGCACGAAACUUGCCCCGAGAUGAGUUCUCCCUGACUCCUUGAGAGUCCUGAAGGAACGUUGAAGACGACGACGUUGAUAGGCCGGGUGUGUAAGCGCAGCGAUGCGUUGAGCUAACCGGUACUAAUGAACCGUGAGGCUUAACCUU
rnacentral:rRNA from 1 species